UGAAACCCUCUGUCUUUGGACCCUCUCAGCAACUCUGCCCCUUGGCCAAUGUCUCAAGAAAACCACUCACCAAUUGUUUCUGUAAGUGGUGGCAAGUGUCAAAAGCGGGGGACAGUUUGCUCAGGUUUUCAGAUGAGGAGGCGUAGUCACUAGCUCCAAAGAGGCUUUGUCUAAGACCACAGGCUCUGGGCACAGUGCUCUGCUCCGUCCGCACCAUCUGGGGACAUGUAACUGUUAGAACAGCUCUUCUCACCCUGUGUCAGCAAGGCCAGGAUUACGUUGUGGGGCUGAGGCUGGAACCUCAGAACAAGCACACGUGGUGGCAUUGGGGAUGUAACCUCAUGCAUCCUGGGGGUAUAAAGCCGUAUCUCUGCCCACCUGAAUAUCUCAGAAGCUUACAGGUUCAGGAAGGGAGCGGGAUGCUCCUACAGCCAGGAGGACUGAGCUGGAACUGGGGGAGUCUGCGGCUCACAAUGGAUGCUGUCUUUUCCCAGUAUUUAGUGAAGAAACUUGAGACUUGAAAGAGGUGGUGGCGGGAUUUGAACCGAGUUCUGUAGGUGCCUGGAAAUAUGUUAGUGGGGCCGAGUACACUUCCUCAGGCCUAGCUCCUGAUGAAUGAUGUAAUGCCCCUGCCCCAUCCAUCCAUCCAUCCAUCCACCCAUCUAUUUAUUUAUUUUUUCCAAGUGCCCCAGGACCAGAGUUCUCCAGAGCUCCUGUGGAGGCAAAUAUCAUUCUUGGUUCCAUACAUUCAUAGUCAUUCUUAGCGCUGUGACAUAGAAGAUAGCUCUAAGGACCAGCCUGGGAAUCAGAGUGGGAAUAGAAGUGGGUGGUGGACUAGGAAAUCAGGUCCCUCUUUUGGGCUUGGUAUUCCCCCCUCCCCCAUCCCUUCCCCAGCCACCACUAAAGGUGAAGUUCUUUUCAGUGGGAAUGAUGAAGUCUCACGCUCUGAGGCAGUUGAGCCACCACUGAGCCACACCCCCAGGUACCAAGGUGAGUGUUGAACUAACUCUAAGGCCCUUUCACUUGUGUGUGUGAUUAUGUGUGUGUGAGCACUGGGGAUGGGAUUGGUGAGGGGUGCAGACAGGCAAAGUGUGGCCACUUUGGGGGGGCUCUGUGUAGCCCCAUGGGGGGGGGAAUCUUCUUUGCAGCCUGUUCUCAGUCUUCCUUCCUUCUCAAGUGCGGGCUCUGGGGUCAGCAAGCUGAGCAGUUGUUUGGCUUAAUAAAACCCCUUGAUCUUUUUUGAGGUAGCUUUGGGCAGGGGAGCUGCUGCAGAUGUUUCAGAAAACCUCCCACUGAAGGAGGCAAAGGACAAAGGACAGCUGAACUAUGUGUGUGUGUGUGUGUGUGGCAUGUCCUGGGGGAGGUGUGGCUGUGGGGGGGCACCUGGUAAGGAUUUAUAAAUAUGGAUGGAGUGGGGUCAGCUGCAUUCAGACCUCUGCUUGUGCACACAAUGAUUUGGCAGAAUGCUACAGAGACCAUUCAAGACUCUGUGUGUGUGUGUGUGUGUGUGUGUGUGUGUGUGUACAUAUGUGUGUGCACACGUGUGCUUCUGUGUGCAUGCAUGUAUUCCUGUGAAUGAGCAGGGCCCUCAGCCACCACCUUGUAGAGGGGAGCAGUGCACGAGGCAAGGUUUCUAGAGAUCACCUGAGUGAGGUUGGGGUGCUCGCCUUUCUUCCUUGCCAACACAGGUAGAUUACAUCUGGUCUGAGUAACCAUUCCCUAGAGGAAGUUAAUUAAUGCCUCAAUAUUUACCAAGUGUCUGCUGGGAUGGCGGCUCAGAGCAGGGCAUGGAUCACUGGGGACCUGGGUUCCAUUCAAACCCCAGGCAAUGCCAGCCCCAGGUGGGUCAGUGCUCUUAUGCCCUGUGAGUACCCAGAAGCUGCAUACACCAGAUCUCAGGGCAUUUAGGAAGGUACCUGGCCAGAGAUGGGAUUUAACCUUUGGGGCUUUGGAAUAGUUUUAGGGGAGAUGCCCGGGUGAAAAGCAUCUUGGGGGUGUUGUGCUUUGAGUUUGGGGGUGCAGUGAGUAGGGGGGACUUCUUAGGUUUGUUUAUAUGCUUACUCUCCUGAGAGAGGCUUUCAUAACCUUUGCCUGGAGGCCAUGGAAGUGUAAGGAAGAACAAGACACAGUUGUCCCCUGCAGUGAAGGAAAGAGAUGGACUCUCACAGAGCAGACACAGGAGGCCCAGGAAGCUCCUUGUGAUAAAACCAAGACCUUAAGACCAAAGAAGAAGAGAUGCUUUCUACAAGUAUAGAGUCAGGAAGGGGGUUCAGUGAGGGUCUGAUUUACAGUAGGUGCUCAAUAAACAUCUGUAGAAUACAGUGAAUGUAAUGUGUAGAAGCUAUAACGACUAAGGCCAAGCAACCCUUCUCCCCAUUUCCAGAUAGGUAAACUGAGGUCCAGAGAGGGGGUAGGGUGUGUUCUGGAAUUGGCCUAGAUGCCCCUUCAACAUCAGCCUGUCUCCCUGUGCUCCAGGCUCUAGCUGAGGCUGUUUCAUAUGGGACUUGCUCUACGGGGUCCCUGGCCCCCAUGGCCCUCAUGUGGCAGCUAGGCAUGGCAACACAGGAGACUGCCUGGUGAUAGUAGUCAGUGCUGCAGGGCAAGGUUGGGGUUUUGCAGCCAGGAAGGAGAGCAGCUAUUCUCAGCCCUAAAGGACCAGGGAGAAGUUUGCCUCACACGGUCCUAGCAAGAGACGCAGUCCCAGGAAGACAAUGAGGCCUGGCUUCGAUAACCUCAAGGCCCUUCACCUAGUAAGAAAGACUGGCCUCAUCUCAGCUUUGAAGAACUUGUGCCCUCAUUCUCACCAGGUCAGGGCUGAAGCCCACACCAGUCAGUAAGGCAGGGCCUCUAAUAAUCGAUACCCUAUGGCUGAAGCAAUAGAGGCACAGACUAUGUGUCCUUCCUGAGGUCAUACAGCAAGGAAGAGAGGGGACAGGAUCUGGAGGAGAUGGACACCAUACUGUGGGUGGGUGAAGGAAAUAUGGUCCCCACCACUGCCCCCCCCCCCCAGGUGACUGUACUUGUGGACAGCAUGUACAAUGUUGCUAGUAUCUCUUGUGGGUUUCUGGACACUUAGCUAGCUGGGUAUACAUUUGUUUAUUCACUCAUUCAGGCUGCAGGCUAGACUACUUGCAGGCACUGGCUAGGCUGUAGGAAGAACACACAGCAGGUCUCACUACCUGGAGUCCAAUUUGAAGUAUCCUUUUCAUCCCCUGACCAAUCCAAUUGAUUGAUAAUGUCUGCCUGGAGCUCUGGGUGAGAAGGAAUUUGGUAUGUACCACACUUGAUUAGUGAUGUCUGCCAAGGGCUCAGCUGGAGCCUUCAAGACCAGUGUGCUAGGCAAUUUGGACACCUGGGGGUUCCAACAGAUUGAGUGUGGGUUGUGGGUCCAGGAUCAAAGGACAGGGAAGUCCUUCGAGAAGCUGGAAGAAGGGAGAGCAGAGCUCUUUCCUCUCUUCUUCCUCAGAUUCCUUCCAGAUACUGUACCCUGGGCAGGCUGGGAUAAGCCUCGUUGACCUGCUCUGCUGGGAGUUUCUAAGGCUCUUAGGACAGAACCUUCGAACUUCGCUUUCGUUUGGGUGCUGGAGGCUGCUGAGGUUGCAUUGCUCCUCAUCCCUGCACCAGAUAGGUGAGAACCCCGGGUGCCACUGUGGGUGCUGGCUUUGCCAAGAGCUGCUUUUCAGUAAUUCUCAAAGCAUUCGAAUGUAGUGGGCAGUGUUGCAGACCCAUUUGAGAGCCAAGUGGAUUGAGGCCCAAGGAAACAGGGUCCCAAGCCUGGUAUAGUGGCUUAUGCCUGUCAUCCCAGUACCUGCGGUGCAGACAAGAGGGGCUUGGACUACAGGCUGAUCUCAAGGACAACAUCAGUACAUGAAACCAAAUCAAACUAAACGACCCAGAGUGACACUGGGUGUGGUGGCUCCCACCUGUAAUUCUAGUACCUGGGAGGCCAGCCUGUGCUGUAUACAUAAUUAGUACCAGGUCAGCUGGGAUGGCAUAGCAGUGCCUUGGUUCAAAAAGCAGGAGUGGGCCAGGUGAUUGUGGCCACAUCCCAUUAAUCCCAGUUCUCGGGAGGCAGAGGCAGGUGGAUUUCUGUGUAUCCAAGCCUGGGCUACACGGAGAAACCUUGUCUCAAAAAACAACAAAAAGGGAGUAGGGGAAUAGAUGAGUGGACAGACCAUAGUAGGGAAAUAGGCUGAUGGACAGACCAUACCCUGACAUGGCUUUUUGAGUAAAGGCACUUGACAACCCAAGUCCCGUUCAGAACUCACACAGAAGUGGAAGGAGAGAACGGUUGUCCUCUGUGCUCCACAUGUGUACCUGAGCUGGGAAGACAUGGCCUUUACCCACCCCUGCCCUGCCACCUUCUGUCUUAGUCUUGUGCAUACCUAUUGGUUCUUUCCUGUAUAUUAAGUGCCUACUGUUUACUGAACUCUGGGUCAGCUCCCAGAGCCAUGGGAGUCCUGCUGUCAGGAACUGUCCUUACCUUUUCUUCAGGUGGAACAAAGAAGGAGUAAGUGGGGAGAGACGUGUACUGGACAGCUCUGAGUAUGGCGGCCAGUGCCUGUGAAUUGGACCUGAGGGUGGGGGGUGAGCAAGAGGCUAGAGAGUGAGAAGCCAGCCUGGGUUAGUUACACAGCUAGACUCUGUCACAAGCAAGCAAGACUGCCUUGAAGAAGAAAGGAACCAAGGAGGCUGGAGGAAAAGACAGUGCCCACCUUCUCAGGCCAUGGGGUGGAGGGUCAGGUCCCCUUUAUUGGUGGGUGGUACCCCUGUUGCUCACUGCUCAGGACCUGAAGCUGAGGCUGCUCCUCUGUUACCCCUGCUCCCCCAAACUGGAGAAUUUUUAAUGCUGGUUCCACAGAACAAAGAAGUGUUUUUGUUUUGAGAGCUCUCUCUCUCUCUCUCUCUCUCCCUCUCUCUAUACACAUCUGCACAUGUGUGUGUUCAAGCCUGCAUGUGUAUGAAGGGAGUGAGUGCUACGGAGGCCAGUGACACUGUUUCUAGUUUCUUUGUCCUUAAUUCAUCUUCCAAACCCCUCUCUAUUCUCAACUUAAUAAAAACAAACAAACAAACAAACAAAACAAAGCCUGAAGGGGCAGGCAGGAAUCCCAGCUACGCCAGAGAUGGAGCAGAAGGAUCGAAAGUUCAAGGCCAGCCUGAGCUAUCAAAAGAGUUUAAGGCACAUGUGGGCAGCUUGGCCCUGCUUUAAAAUCGUUUGUUUGUUUUGAAGGUGUGGGGCAUCUCUGUUCCAAUGCUUGCCUCCCAUGUGCCAAGCCCCGAGUUCAAUCCGAGCGACUACAGAACAAAGCUGAAGUAGGACCUGGAGCCGGUAGUGUGGCUCACUUGGAAGAAUGCUUGCCCAGCGCCUCGUAAACCAGGCCCACACCUGUGGUCCCAGCACCUGGGAGAUGGAGAUGAGAUCAAGGUCAUUUUCAGCUACAGAUGAUUUUGAGUCCUGAUCCAGCAUGGGCUACCUGAGCUUCUGUGUCAAAGAGAAACAAAGAAACAAAAACUGAGGGCUCUCUUCACUCCUGGCCCCAGUGCUGGUGCUGGCUGAAGGUUCCAAGCGUCCCCACAUCUGUGUCCUCAUGGCACCUACCUGGCUCUGUGAGAUUCAAGCAUUUUUGCCAUUCAGAUGGGAAAGCAGGCACUGAGACAGAAAUGGUUUGGGGUGUCGCCCUCCCUCUAGCAGGUGGUGGAGUAGGGGGUGGGGCUCUUGACUCCCAUGACCUGCUGAGUCUUUGUUUCUGGUCUCUCCUCUCCCCAGUGAAUUUCUCAAACCUGCCAUUCUGCCUCCAGGAGAAUGUAAAAGUGUGGGUCUCACUGGUGACCUCAGAGGACCUGAGAAGGGGGAAGAGAAAGGGAGACAUAAACAGGGCUGUGAAGAGCAGGGCUUUUUCCAGACCUGACCCAGGGUGGGUCUUGUGCCUGCUGUGGUGGCUCUUGUACCCUCUGCUUAGCUUAUUUGGUGAAGGAUCAAUGCAUGUGACCAAACUCUCCAGCGUUUAGAAGACAGCUGUCCUGGCUGAUGUGCUGCCGAGCAUUCUGAAGGUCCCCGAGAUGGCCUGCUGAUGAGUCAGGAGCUGUAAGUCACAGGAACUGAACCACGAUGGCUUAAACUGGAAGCGCAGAGCCUUGCAGGGGCGGGCAGAGCUGGGCAGCCUCUCCAGGAGCCCUCUGGCUUCUCUAGCACAUGACUCUUAUUCUCAGCACAAAGUGGCUGCUUCACCUCUGCCAGGCAGAAAAAAUGGGGAAGGGAAAAAGACCCUUUGCAGGCAAGGGUUGGUUGGUUUUUUUUUCUUUCUAUUUUUUCUUUUUUUCUUUUUAAUCAGAAAAACAUUUGCUGUCUGGACACUCACAACAGUGAUUUCAUCUCUUGGUCAGAAUUUCACCAGGAGACCUGCCUAGCUGUAAAGGGGUCUGGGAGGUGAAUAUUUGUAUCUGGGCACAUUGUCUGGGGAGGAAGAUGGAGAAAGGAUGACAACUCAGUGACAAGCCACAGUGUCCUACCACUGUGUCAGUGGUCUUUGCCACUUUCCCCUGGUCAGUGCCUUACUGUUUUGUAAUGGCUUAGAAGCAGUGUCUGUGUGCAGCACAGGCCUGGGGUACACAGGCGGCUGGGUAACUGGGGACUUGGGAGGUAUCUCUAAGUCUUACCAUUUCCCAGGUACUUAGCAGAACCCACAGAGCUUCUGGCUGCUUACACAGGACUGGCAGCAGUAGCUGGGCUUAGGUAACUGACUAGUUCCUCCUCAGUGGGUUACAAGGCCCUUUCUCUCUUGGAGAGGUUCACAGAUACACAUAGUCCCUCUGCAUUUCCAGUCCCUUGGAGCAACUCUGCAGAGACAUCGAUGCUGCCUUGCUAAGGAUCUGGCCACUCUCCAGGACCCUGUGCAUUCUGUCCAUGUCCUGGCUGUUAUAGGCAGCCUGGCAACACUGGGGACAGUUGGUCCAACCCAUAGUCAACAGGCAAACACUCUGCACCAGUUGCCUGAGGUCCCAGAGGUUUCAAGUGGCAGAUCCUGGACUUGAACCCUUGCUUGUCCAUUUCCAUAAUAAUGAUCACUGCCCAUCUAGUGGAUACCACUUUUUCUUUACAGGUUAGUGGUCACUCUAACUGUGUAGAAAGCUGGAGAAAAUCUGAGGCACAGAGGCAGACUGGCUGAAGAGAAGACAGGAAUUGGUAGCAGGCCAUACCCAGCGUCUUUAGCAGACUUCAGUCUGCCUCAAGUCUGGAAGUGCUGUGAAGACCCUCCGUGGGAUGGGGGUGCAGUGCUUCAGGGAGGG